rnacentral:other from 1 species
UAAUUCCUGUGAUGUGCGUGAUGCACCAAUUCGUUUUGAGCCAACAAUUAAGUCUAGGGAGCCGGAAUCCAGAGUGAUUCCGCAAGAGCUGGGCAGCCAGCACUUCUCAAUCACCGGAAGGCACCCACCUGCGCAAGCAGGUUCAAGGCUGAGGGGCACACGGCAUUGCGGGAUUACA